AAAUUAAAGUUAAAAAGAAUAUUUAGAAUUUCAAUGGAAAGUUUUAUGUGAGAAUACGAAACUAAAAAGCAACUUUUUUUUGGUAAUUAAACUUUGUAUUAAUCACCAAAGUGUUAACCUUACAGAUUCAUAGCCCAGCUUGUUACUCAGCUAGCUAUCAAAACAAAAACAAAGGACUAUCCUAUACUGUCUAACACCCUAGCAUUAUAGUAGAUAAUGCUGCAGAAGUACUCUUAGCCUAGGAGGAGCUCUAACAUUACAAUUAUAAGCAAUAUUUCUAAGCAGCUUGUCACUGUUACAAUAGGUGUUUCCAAAUAUUUUCGCGUUCCUUUCCAGCCAUAAGACAUAAAACAUCUCUGUCAAUGUCAUUUUGACUAUAUGAGCUCGAGGGGAUUUGCCUUUAGAUUGCUCAAUGAACCACUGGACAAAUUGGAGCCAGUUUUGUCUAGUAUGCUAUUUAAUUCCAAUCCAUUGCAAUGUGUGGUCUCUCAGUUGGGAUGUAUAAGUGCAAUCCAGGAAUAAGUGUUCUCUUGAUUCCACAGCUUGUUGACACAUGACACAAGUGUCUG
rnacentral:lncRNA from 1 species